rnacentral:rRNA from 1 species
GUGAGUUGCGAACGGGUGAGUAACGCGUAGGUAACCUGCCUGGUAGCGGGGGAUAACUAUUGGAAACGAUAGCUAAUACCGCAUAAGAACAUUUACUGCAUGGUAGAUGUUUAAAAGGUGCAAAUGCAUCACUACCAGAUGGACCUGCGUUGUAUUAGCUAGUAGGUGAGGUAACGGCUCACCUAGGCGACGAUACAUAGCCGACCUGAGAGGGUGAUCGGCCACACUGGGACUGAGACACGGCCCAGACUCCUACGGGAGGCAGCAGUAGGGAAUCUUCGGCAAUGGGGGGAACCCUGACCGAGCAACGCCGCGUGAGUGAAGAAGGUUUUCGGAUCGUAAAGCUCUGUUGUUAAGGAAGAACGAGUGUGAGAAUGGAAAGUUCAUACUGUGACGGUACUUAACCAGAAAGGGACGGCUAACUACGUGCCAGCAGCCGCGGUAAUACGUAGGUCCCGAGCGUUGUCCGGAUUUAUUGGGCGUAAAGCGAGCGCAGGCGGUUAGAUAAGUCUGAAGUUAAAGGCAGUGGCUCAACCAUUGUAGGCUUUGGAAACUGUUUAACUUGAGUGCAGAAGGGGAGAGUGGAAUUCCAUGUGUAGCGGUGAAAUGCGUAGAUAUAUGGAGGAACACCGGUGGCGAAAGCGGCUCUCUGGUCUGUAACUGACGCUGAGGCUCGAAAGCGUGGGGAGCGAACAGGAUUAGAUACCCUGGUAGUCCAC